AAUCAACGCUGGCGGCGUGCCUCAGACAUGCAAGUCGAACGCUGCUGAUUGCCCUUCGGGGCGGUCAGCGGAGUGGCGCACGGGUGAGUAACACGUAGGUAAUCUACCUUUGGGUGGGGAAUAACAGCCGGAAACGGCUGCUAAUACCGCAUAAUGCAGCGGCACCACAUGGUGACAGUUGUUAAAAGCGGGGGAUCGUAAGACCUCGCGCCUGAAGAGGAGCCUGCGGCGGAUUAGCUUGUUGGUGAGGUAAUGGCUCACCAAGGCGACGAUCCGUAGCCGGCCUGAGAGGGCGGUCGGCCACACUGACACUGACAUACGGU
rnacentral:rRNA from 1 species